AUUGAACGCUGGCGGCAGGCCUAACACAUGCAAGUCGAACGAGUGGCGGACGGGUGAGUAAUGUCUGGGAAACUGCCCGAUGGAGGGGGAUAACUACUGGAAACGGUAGCUAAUACCGCAUACCAUCGGAUGUGCCCAGAUGGGAUUGGCUUGUAGGUGAGGUAACGGCGCACCUGGGCGACGAGCCCUAGCUGGUAUGAGAGGAUGACCAGCCACCCUGGAACUGAGCCACGGUCCAGACUCCGACGGGAGGAAGCAGUGGGAAAUAUUGCGCAAUGGGCGAAAGCCUGAUGCAGCCAUGCGGCGUGUAUGAAGAAGGCCUUCGGGUUGUAAAGUACUUUCAGCGGGGAGGCGUUACCCGCAGAAGAAGCACCGGCUAACUCCGUGCCAGCCGCCGCGGUAAUUC
rnacentral:rRNA from 1 species